GUCAGGUGUGGUGGUGCACACCUGUAAUCCCAGCUACUUUGGAGGCCGAGGCAGGAGGUUUGCAAAUUCAAGGCCAGCCUGGGCAACUUAGUGAGAUCCUAUCACAA
rnacentral:sRNA from 1 species